rnacentral:rRNA from 1 species
AGUAAACGGCGGCCGUAACUAUAACGGUCCUAAGGUAGCGAAAUUCCUUGUCGGGCAAGUUCCGACCUGCACGAAUGGCAUAAUGAUGGCCACACUGUCUCCUCCUGAGACUCAGUGAAGUUGAAAUGUUUGUGAUGAUGCAAUCUCCCCGCGGCUAGACGGAAAGACCCCAUGAACCUUUACUGCAGCUUUGCAUUGGACUUUGAACCGAUCUGUGUAGGAUAGGUGGGAGGCAGUGAAGCUAGGACGCCAGUCUUAGCGGAGCCAACCUUGAAAUACCACCCUGAUUUGUUUGAGGUUCUAACCUAGGAGCGUAAUCCGCUUCGGGGACCGUGCAUGGCAGGCAGUUUGACUGGGGCGGUCUCCUCCUAAAGGGUAACGGAGGAGUGCGAAGGUACGCUAGGUACGGUCGGAAAUCGUGCUGAUAGUGCAAUGGCAAAAGCGUGCUUGACUGCGAGACCGACAAGUCGAGCAGAUACGAAAGUAGGUCAUAGUGAUCCGGUGGCUCUGCAUGGAAGGGCCAUCGCUCAACGGAUAAAAGGUACUCUGGGGAUAACAGGCUGAUACCGCCCAAGAGUUCAUAUCGACGGCGGUGUUUGGCACCUCGAUGUCGGCUCAUCUCAUCCUGGGGCUGUAGCCGGUCCCAAGGGUAUGGCUGUUCGCCAUUUAAAGAGGUACGUGAGCUGGGUUUAAAACGUCGUGAGACAGUUUUGUCCCUAUCUGCCGUGGGCGUUGGAAGAUUGACGGGGGCUGCUCCUAGUACGAGAGGACCGGAGUGGACUCACCUCUGGUGUACCGGUUGUCACGCCAGUGGCAUCGCCGGGUAGCUAUGUGGGGAAAGGAUAACCGCUGAAAGCAUCUAAGCGGGAAACCUGCCUGAAGAUAAGUCUUCCUGGAGGCUUUGACCUCCCUGAAGAGUCGUUCGAGACCAGGACGUUGAUAGGUUGGAUGUGCAAGCGCUGUGAGGCGUUGAGCUGACCAAUACUAAUUGCUCGUGAAGCUUGAUCCU